CCUACGGGAGUCAGCAGUAGGGAAUAUUGCUCAAUGGGGGAAACCCUGAAGCAGCAACGCCGCGUGGAGGAUGAAGGUUUUCGGAUUGUUAACUCCUUUUUUUAGAGAAGAUAAUGACGGUAUCUAACGAAUAAGCACCGGCUAACUCCGUUCCAGCAGCCGCGGUAAUACGCAGGGUGCAAGCGUUACUCGGAAUCACUGGGCGUAAAGAGCGCGUAGGCGGGAUAGCAAGUCAGAUGUGAAAUCCUAUGGCUUAACCAUAGAACUGCAUUUGAAACUGUUAUUCUAGAGUAUGGGAGAGGUAGGUGGAAUUCUUGGUGUAGCGGUAAAAUCCGUAGAGAUCACGAGGAAUACUCAUUGCGAAGGCGACCUGCUAGACCAUAACUGACGCUGAUGCGCGAAAGCGUGGGGAGCAAACAGGAUUAGAUACCCGGGUAGUC
rnacentral:rRNA from 1 species